GCCAAAGUAGAUUAGUGGUUUGAAUGCUGGACUGCAACUCUGGAGACCAGGGUUCAAUUCCUGGCUUGGCCA
rnacentral:tRNA from 1 species